UCUAUAUACACAUAUUCAUGCAAAUUCUCACACACACACACACCACAUAUAUAUACACACAUGAAUGUAUGGCUGUGUACAUGUAUGUAUAUCAUUAUGUAAAAUAUAAAAUAUAUUUUACAUCAUGCAAACAUUUUCUGAUCUAGAAAUUCAUUAUGUUGGGUGAAAUAGACAGAUAUGUUUAGUAUAUCAAAGGUUGAUGGUUUUUCCCAGACUAGGGCGAAUCUCACUAUAGACUGUCAACUGCUGAUAUGAUAAUUGUACAUGUAUAUGUGUGUGUUUCUAUACAUAUAUAUAAAAUUUUAUUUAUGUAUAUAGUUAUAUGCAAAUAAAUUAUCCCACGGCUGAGUGGGGUCUGAUGUUGAAAUAUCUGAUACCUAGAAACUUCACUGACGAUACAUCCCACAGCAUCCACAAGAUGUAUCUUAAAACUACAUGUGUGUAUGUAUAUAUAUAUAUAUAUAUAUAUAUAAUAUAUAUAUAUAUAUAUAUAGUGUGUGUGUGUGUGUGUGUGUGUAUCUGCACAGUUUAUAUAUAUAUAUAUAUAUAUAUAUAUAUGUGUGUGUGUGUGUGUGUGUUUAUGCAUGGAUGUUUGUAUGUAAAAGUAUGAAGAGAAAUCGUUUAUACAAAAUGCUAAACAAUGAAAAAGGAAGUCGUGACAAACACCAUACAACACCAUUAGUAUAUUUUAUAUGUUUAUAUGAAAACAACAACAAAACCUAGUUAACUAACAAACCAAUAUUUACAACAGCAAGCAAGAAAGAAGGAAAAAAAAACAAGCUGAAGAAAUAAAUAUAGAAAGACGGAGAAAAAAGCACACGAAACAACUGAUCCUAAUUAAGGGUUAACGAGGGUAAACAAAACACAAACUGUAUAUUAUAAUUAUAUUAUAAACAUUUUUGCGUAUUUUUUUCAAAAAUGUUAUCAUCAUCAUCAUUAUUAUCAUUAUCACUAUUACUAUUAUCAUUAUUAUAAUUGUCCUUGAUAUUAAUAUAAUCGUCAUUUAUCAUUAUCAUCAUUAUUCUUAUUACUAUUACUGUUAUUACUAUUAUUAUCAUUAUCAUUAUUAUUAUUUCUUUUGGAAUCUAAUACAGAAAUAAACUUGUUAUAGAAUAUACAAAUGCUAACAGAAAAAUACUUCCUUUGGUCAGAUGAUAAGCUAUAUAUAUAUAUGAAACAUACACUAAUGAAACUUGUUUCAAAUCCAGCCUGCAGCAGGCAUUCCUUCCUACUAGUAACUUCCAUUUCUCACUCCUUUGAGUGUUUUUUUUUUUUUUUGACAUCUCCUCCAUCAUUCCCAUCAACACCAUACCCCUUCCUUUAUCUUCCAUUUAGUUGUUCCCUUAUUUUACCCAUUGAAAGCACCCAGUACCUGUUAUUUCUAUUGUUACUUAUGCUACAAUUGUUAUCAUCAUUAUUAUUAUUAUUAUUAUUAUUGCUGCCGAUGUUUGAGCUGAUGGCUUGUGCAGGCUCCAGUACCGUGAUGGUAAGCAAGCAAACCAAACAAAGCGAAGCCAAAAAAAGAAAAACCAAUUGUUUUACCAGAUUCACUCCUUAAAACUCCAAACUCCAUUAAUGAAUAUCCCUGGCGGUGUGGGGGGUGGGGUGGAAACGUGAACAUCAAGAAAUACCUAAAA